rnacentral:rRNA from 1 species
GAUGAACGCUAGCGGCAGGCUUAAUACAUGCAAGUCGUGGGGCAGCAGGUUUGUAGCAAUACAGAUGCUGGCGACCGGACAAAGGGUGCGUAACACGUACGCAAGCUUCACGUUACUGGGGAAUAGCCAAGGGAAACUUGGAUUAAUAACCACUUUUAUAUUGUUUAGGCAUUUGAUCGAUAUCAACGCAUAGGAGGUAAAGGAUGGGCGUGCGGUUGAUUAGGUAGUUGGCAGGGUAACGGCCCACCAAGCCUACGAUCAAUAGCUGAAGGGAGGGCAUGAUCGGCCACACGGGCACUGAGACACGGGCCCGACUCCUACGGGAGGCAGCAGUAAGGAAUAUUGGGCAAUGGACGCAAGUCUGACCCAGCCAUGCCUCGUGAAGGAUGAAGGUCCUCUGGAUUGUAAACUUCUUUUAUCUGGGGCGAAAACCGGUUAUUCUUAGCCGUUUGACAGUACCAGAGGAAUAAGCACCGGCUAACUCCGUGCCAGCAGCCGCAGUAAAAC